AUUGAUUUUAUGCUUGCAUAAAUGAUUUUUGGAUUCGGAGCGAGUGGCGAACUGGUGAGUAACACGUGGGUAACCUGCCCCGAAGCGGGGGAUAACAUUUGGAAACAAGUGCUAAUACCGCAUAAUUAGUUGGAACCGCAUGGUUCCAACUUGAAAGAUGGCUCUGCUAUCACUUUGGGAUGGACCCGCGCCGUAUUAGUUAGUUGGUGAGAUAAAAGCCCACCAAGACGAUGAUACGUAGCCGACCUGAGAGGGUAAUCGGCCACAUUGGGACUGAGACACGGCCCAGACUCCUACGGGAGGCAGCAGUAGGGAAUCUUCCACAAUGGACGAAAGUCUGAUGGAGCAACGCCGCGUGAGUGAUGAAGGUUUUCGGAUCGUAAAACUCUGUUGUUAAAGAAGAACAAGUGUUAGAGUAACUGUUAACACUUUGACGGUAUUUAACCAGAAAGCCACGGCUAACUACGUGCCAGCAGCCGCGGUAAUACGUAGGUGGCAAGCGUUGUCCGGAUUUAUUGGGCGUAAAGCGAGCGCAGGCGGUUUUGUAAGUCUGCUGUGAAAGCCCUCAGCUCAACUGAGGAAGUGCAGUGGAAACUACAAAACUUGAGUACAGAAGAGGAAAGUGGAACUCCAUGUGUAGCGGUGAAAUGCGUAGAUAUAUGGAAGAACACCAGUGGCGAAGGCGGCUUUCUGGUCUGUUACUGACGCUGAGGCUCGAAAGCAUGGGUAGCGAACAGGAUUAGAUACCCUGGUAGUCCAUGCCGUAAACGAUGAAUACUAGGUGUUGGAGGGUUUCCGCCCUUCAGUGCCGCAGCUAACGCAUUAAGUAUUCCGCCUGGGGAGUACGACCGCAAGGUUGAAACUCAAAGGAAUUGACGGGGGCCCGCACAAGUGGUGGAGCAUGUGGUUUAAUUCGAUGCUACGCGAAGAACCUUACCAGCUCUUGACAUCUUCUGCCAACCCAAGAGAUUGGGCGUUCCCUUCGGGGACAGAAUGACAGGUGGUGCAUGGUUGUCGUCAGCUCGUGUCGUGAGAUGUUGGGUUAAGUCCCGCAACGAGCGCAACCCUUAUUAUUAGUUGCCAGCAUUUAGUUGGGCACUCUAAUGAGACUGCCGGUGAUAAA
rnacentral:rRNA from 1 species